UUUUUAUUUGUAAAAUUUUUUUAAUAUUGUUUGGUUUUUAUGUUUUCGUGGGACUUAAUCUAUGUCUAUUAAAAGUUUGAAAAAAUUAGAUUUUUUUUAAAAAUUAAAAGUUACGCGUUUAGUUUUUUCAAAAAUUUUAAAUAGUAUAUUUUAUAUUUUUAAUAUUUUAUGCAAUGUGUAUUGCACGUGCACUUAGCUAGUAAAUAUAAUUUAGAAACUAAAAUAAAGAAUUAGGUAUAGAUUGAGAAUAUUGAUUAGGACCAAAAUACCUUUCCAAUUGUUAGAAAAAUAAUUGUUCCAUUGCGUAAGAUGACGACGAAGUGCUGGCAAAGGUGAAGAUGACGAUGUGCUAGCGAAGACGAUGAUAAUCGGCGAAUGUGAUGACGAUGACAUGUCGCCGCAAGUGAGGACGACAACGAUGUGUCGGAAGGACGAUAAUUUUUGCAAUUAAUAUGAGAGAUAAAAUGUCAUGAAGAUACAAAAUUAUUAGCAUUUAAAAAUCUUGAAAAGUAAAACAAAAUAUAUGAACGACGAAUUAGGUAGGAAAUUAUAUUAUGACAUGUUAAAAUGAAUUAGGCGGAUUCAAAAUAUACCUUUCCAACUGUGACAAUGGCGAUUGGGGACGACAAUGAGGAACGAAUAAAGUAUUACUAAAAUAAUAUAUUUGAGAACAAAGUAUACUGGAAAUAAAAAAUGAUAAGCUUUAACGUAUAGAUAGAGAUGAGAAAAUAUUAAAAAAAGAUAUAAUUUAUAUAUGGAUAAAUAUUAUGAUGAGAUAAAAUUGGAUAGGGGAGGAAAAUAUUAUAUAAGAGGGUACUAAGAUAUU
rnacentral:lncRNA from 1 species